UUUUCAAUUUUUUCGAAUUUUAGGAUAUAAUGGUGUUUUUUUGUUUGAUUUCAAUAAGUUUGACACAAUGGGUUUAUCUUUACAAUUUUUUUAGUUUAAUUGUGUUUAUGUCAUUAAUAUGUUUGGAGCUAAUUUCCCUUUUUUUCAUAUUUAUAUAGCUAAAAACUGAAUUCGCAUUCAUUUGAUUUAUUUCGAAUAUAGUUUUUUGUAUUCAAUUUGAAAUAGAAUAGAUCUGAAUCUUUAUUCGCUUUACUUUUCGAUUUGUGAUUUGAUUUGAACUCAAUUCAAUUGGCGUUAAUGGAAGACGCAAGUCAACAGAACCUCGAUGGAUUCGCCUCCGUCCCAUCUCCUGGUGACAGGGCUGCUGAUCUGCAUAACUUGGCAGAUAAGUCACUUUUCGCCGAAAGAUGAAAGGUUGUUUCUGCAAAUCCUUCUCCAGACACAGCCAUGUCUAGGGCUCCAGAAAGAACUAAAAAUCAGCCUGCAACCUCAGGAACAACUGGGGCGAUUAGCACUAUGUAUCCUUUCAAUGCUUAUACUCUGCAGGACCAGGGCAUUUAUUAUGGAGUUUCCGCUGUUGUCCCAGAGCAGGUAAGUAAUCUUCAUAUAUGAAUUGGGUUUUUGAUUUGAGAGUCAGCUAUGAGUUGUCAGUAAAUUAAUAUACACUUCUGGAAUUUUCUGGAAUUUUUUUGUACUUUUUGAAAAUGUGGUGAUGCUAUUCGUCGGAGGACUGUUGAAUGGAAGAAAGUGAAUUCUAAUGACCUUGGAAUUAGUAAUUCGAAGAUUUCAAGAUCCAUAAGAGUGGUUCUUAAUGGUCUCAAAGGAAAAGAUACUUACUUUGAUCAUUUUGUGUUUAUUUAUAUAUUUUGACUCUGUAUUUUCCAUAGUUUUCAAUUUAUAUAUGUUACUAAUAAAUAAUAUUAAUGUGGUGAUGAUUAUUGUCAACUAAUGAAAUUUAUGUUGAUGAUAUUUUGUGGAAAUCUGAAUUCUUUGUUAGAUGUUCUUGGCUUUUGAGUUCAUAGCUCAUGUAAAGUGUAGACGCAAAUCUUUUGUAAAAAUUGUGUAUAUGUGGAGACGGAGACUUAUUAAUGGGGAAAUAAUGAGUGACAUGUUUGGAACUGCUUUUGUUACAUAAUUGAGAGUUUGGUUUUGAUGGAAAAUGGGAUGACUUGGAUUUUGGUGGAAGUGGGAGUUAAGUCGUUCAUUUAUUUGAUUUUCUCCCUCAUUAUCAAGGUAACAUUGUCACCCAUUUAUAUAAAAGAGCAUGAACUUAAAUUUUACAAGUAAAACAGUGACUUUCUAAAUGAAUAAUUUUGUAAGGGUCAAAAUUGGAGAAUAGUUUGUAAUCUCGAGGCAUAUGCCUUAGACAAGGCUUUAAAAUAAUUAUUCUAAUCUCAAUGUUUUGAGAGGCUUAUGAUUUUUUCUUUAGAUUUUAUUUAGACAAAAUAAUGUAAGUUGUUUGUCUUUUCUUUUUCUUGUGUCGAUAUUCAUUUUCAUCGCUUGCUUUAAUAUAGAAUCAAUUUUGGGUCCAUGUUAAAAAUUGACCAUUGCAUAUACAAUAUGUCUGCUGUCUCUGCUUACCUGUUCCAGGGCUUGAAAAAUCAAAGAACUUGAUUUUUCUAAAGUCCAUGACAUUUAAAGAUAAAGACAUCUUAGAGAAAAUCAAUAAUUGCUAAAAGUUUUGAAUGGAACUGCACAUAAUCUGUUAAUAUGGUAAAUAGGCUUAGUACCCAUUUGUACCACAGAUGUUGAUAACAACCUAAAGCCCUAACUUUCUGAGCCAAGUCUGUCAAGGUUCCGUGUUUUAGCCUUAUUCUCAAAUGCUCAACUAUGUUCACUAGAAUUUAAGUUAGAUGUGUGUAGGGCCAAAUUCCAGCAAGCACCAAGGUAAACCAGGCUUAGUUUCACCAAGAAAGUCGACACCACCAACGGGUUGAGACAACUCCAAACCACCACCACCAAGUUCCCACUUCCGGUUGCAAUUAGUUGGACAAGAUGAAGAACAAUAAUAUGCCCACUAGAAAAGAACCAUAAAGGUCACAUAGAAGAGGAGAAACCGAAAGGAGAGUAUCACAGAGAGAGGUUGGGCAUUCUUCAUAUGGAGGCCGAGAGGAAGGCCAAGAAUAUAAGCCAAGCAAAUAAUCAAACAAGGUAAGUUAGGUUAGGAUUAUUUAGUAGACCAAACAAGGCUCGACUCAAAAAACAAUGGGUUUCAAAUUAAUAAAAUAGCCAACUGUGAGCAAUACGAUUAACAAUAGGUUGCUUCUAACGAUUCAUAGGAAUGUGGAUUAGGUUGUUUCGAUAAUUGUGUCGAUAUACUAAUCAAUUAUAUGGCCAAGGUUGAUUGAUAAUAGAACCAGGGUUACAUUAUAGCUCGGGGGGUCGUUUGACAACAAAUUGCCUAACAAUGUGUAAUAUGCAUAAUUUUCCUCCAAUUUCGAAAGGAUAUGUUCCUUGUUUUUAUCUUAAAACAUUUAUAUAAAUAUCUAAACCUUAUCUUCAAUAAACUUGGCGUCAAGUGUAUGAAUCAUGCUUUUUUAAAUAAAUCCUUGAAGUGCCUCGUGAAUAGACCUUCAUUACCUUUUCUCUCAUUUGGUUCUUGAUGUAUAUGUUCUUAAUAUUUUGUAUGAUCUUUUAACUUGAUAGAUAUAUUUUCCUCACAUUAAAGUAAAUGUAAAUGUAAAUUUUUAUGUUGUAUGAAUAGGGUUCAUCUAUUUCAUUUGAUACGUUUUGUGAUCGGUAUUUGAGGAUGCUUUCAAGUCAACACUAAGCAUAAUUAUCCUUGGUGAUAUUGAAAGAUACUACUAUUGACUCUAGAUGAAUAAUUUAUUGAAAGACUUGGGAAAGCUCACCCCAGUAAGCUAAUUCACAUCACCCGAAUUGUAUGACGCUCAAAAGUAUCAUGUCCAGGAUUUUGAAAGAACUCUUCAACAACUACAAUCUUGGAUGUCCAAGUAUUGGUAAAAUUUUUAACUUUUUUUUAAUAUAUGCCUUCCCACUUACUUAGUGUACCACUUUAUUAAACAUCCAUAAUUACUAUUCUAAGGCAUAAUUAGGUUGCAAAGGUCAAAUUUUUUCUUUUCAAAUUAUGAACAACCUUUUGGAUGUCACAAAUAAUCUUUUUGCCUAAUUUGGCAAACACUCCACCAUAUGUACAUUUUCAAUGUUGGACCUUGCUUGAAGAAAGCUCUUUUGCCUGCCGCUCAAGAACUUUUUUGACGCAAAAACUCUUGGGUGAAAAGGAUGAGUCUGACAACAAAUAAUCUUUUUUGAUGGGUCCGUCUUCCUAUCCUCUGAUGAAAAGGAUGAGCCUGACGACUACUAGGAAGUGCCAACUGUAACAUUUACAAACUCCAACCAGCAGAGUGUUCUGAAAUCAAUCUUUUGCGUUGAUUAUAACCAACUUAUGAAUAUCUUCUACGUUUAGAAAUGAAUUUCUCUAAAAUUUACAUUUACUUAUAUUUUUAACAUUAACAAAUUAAUAUGCAAUGCCAUUGACCCACUAGUAAUAGUUAAAAAUCGCUUGAAACCGAAUCCAACCACUCUCUUCAUUAUAUAAAAAAAGAUGGGUUAAGUUAAUCAAUGGUCACCCAACUUUAUAUUUGGCGUCACCAUAGCCACUCAAUUUGAUUUUGUUUCAUCAUGGUCACCCAACUUUAUACUUAGUGUUACUGUGGUCACCUAAUUAGAUUUUAUUUCACUAUAGCCACUCAAUUUCAUAUAACGUUUCACCAUAAUUAUCCAAUUUUAUGUAACGUUUCACCAUAAUCAAUCAAUUUUUUUCACCAUUAUCAUAAUUUGGA